GACAGAGGUGCCAAGCGUUAGGCGGAAUCACUGGGCUUAAAGCGUGUGUAGGCGGCUCGUUUAGUACCUUGUGGAAUCCCACGGCUCAACCGUGGAACUGCUCGGUAUACUGGCGGGCUUGAGCCAUCUAGGGGCUACCGGAACAAAUGGUGGAGCGGUGAAAUGCGUAGAUAUCAUUUGGAACGCCAAUGGUGAAAAACAGGGUAGCUGGGGGAUGUGCUGACGCUGAGACACGAAAGCCAGGGGAGCGAACGGG
rnacentral:rRNA from 1 species